rnacentral:rRNA from 1 species
GGGUUGUGAGGUUAAGCGACUAAGCGUACACGGUGGAUGCCCUGGCAGUCAGAGGCGAUGAAGGACGUGCUAAUCUGCGAAAAGCGUCGGUAAGGUGAUAUGAACCGUUAUAACCGGCGAUGUCCGAAUGGGGAAACCCAGUGCAAUUCGUUGCACUAUCGUUAACUGAAUACAUAGGUUAACGAGGCGAACCGGGGGAACUGAAACAUCUAAGUACCCCGAGGAAAAGAAAUCAACCGAGAUUCCCCCAGUAGCGGCGAGCGAACGGGGAGCAGCCCAGAGUCUGAAUCAGCUUGUGUGUUAGUGGAACGGUCUGGAAAGUCCGACGGUACAGGGUGAUAGUCCCGUACACCAAAAUGCACAGGUUGUGAACUCGAAGAGUAGGGCGGGACACGUGGUAUCCUGUCUGAAUAUGGGGGGACCAUCCUCCAAGGCUAAAUACUCCUGACUGACCGAUAGUGAACCAGUACCGUGAGGGAAAGGCGAAAAGAACCCCGGCGAGGGGAGUGAAAAAGAACCUGAAACCGUGUACGUACAAGCAGUGGGAGCACCUUCGGGUGUGACUGCGUACCUUUUGUAUAAUGGGUCAGCGACUUAUAUUCUGUAGCAAGGUUAACCGUAUAGGGGAGCCGCAGGGAAACCGAGUCUUAACUGGGCGUUAAGUUGCAGGGUAUAGACCCGAAACCCGGUGAUCUAGCCAUGGGCAGGUUGAAGGUUGGGUAACACUAACUGGAGGACCGAACCGACUAAUGUUGAAAAAUUAGCGGAUGACUUGUGGCUGGGGGUGAAAGGCCAAUCAAACCGGGAGAUAGCUGGUUCUCCCCGAAAGCUAUUUAGGUAGCGCCUCGUGAACUCAUCUUCGGGGGUAGAGCACUGUUUCGGCUAGGGGGUCAUCCCGACUUACCAACCCGAUGCAAACUACGAAUACCGAAGAAUGUUAUCACGGGAGACACACGGCGGGUGCUAACGUCCGUCGUGAAGAGGGAAACAACCCAGACCGCCAGCUAAGGUCCCAAAGUCAUGGUUAAGUGGGAAACGAUGUGGGAAGGCACAGACAGCCAGGAUGUUGGCUUAGAAGCAGCCAUCAUUUAAAGAAAGCGUAAUAGCUCACUGGUCGAGUCGGCCUGCGCGGAAGAUGUAACGGGGCUAAACCAUGCACCGAAGCUGCGGCAGCGACACUAUGUGUUGUUGGGUAGGGGAGCGUUCUGUAAGCCUGCGAAGGUGUGCUGUGAGGCAUGCUGGAGGUAUCAGAAGUGCGAAUGCUGACAUAAGUAACGAUAAAGCGGGUGAAAAGCCCGCUCGCCGGAAGACCAAGGGUUCCUGUCCAACGUUAAUCGGGGCAGGGUGAGUCGACCCCUAAGGCGAGGCCGAAAGGCGUAGUCGAUGGGAAACAGGUUAAUAUUCCUGUACUUGGUGUUACUGCGAAGGGGGGACGGAGAAGGCUAUGUUAGCCGGGCGACGGUUGUCCCGGUUUAAGCAUGUAGGCUGGUUAUCCAGGCAAAUCCGGAUAAUCAAGGCUGAGGUGUGAUGACGAGGCACUACGGUGCUGAAGUAACAAAUGCCCUGCUUCCAGGAAAAGCCUCUAAGCAUCAGGUAACAUCAAAUCGUACCCCAAACCGACACAGGUGGUCAGGUAGAGAAUACCAAGGCGCUUGAGAGAACUCGGGUGAAGGAACUAGGCAAAAUGGUGCCGUAACUUCGGGAGAAGGCACGCUGGUGUGUAGGUGAAGCCCCUGCGGGUGGAGCUGAGACCAGUCGAAGAUACCAGCUGGCUGCAACUGUUUAUUAAAAACACAGCACUGUGCAAACACGAAAGUGGACGUAUACGGUGUGACGCCUGCCCGGUGCCGGAAGGUUAAUUGAUGGGGUUAUCCGUAAGGAGAAGCUCUUGAUCGAAGCCCCGGUAAACGGCGGCCGUAACUAUAACGGUCCUAAGGUAGCGAAAUUCCUUGUCGGGUAAGUUCCGACCUGCACGAAUGGCGUAAUGAUGGCCAGGCUGUCUCCACCCGAGACUCAGUGAAAUUGAACUCGCUGUGAAGAUGCAGUGUACCCGCGGCAAGACGGAAAGACCCCGUGAACCUUUACUAUAGCUUGACACUGAACAUUGAGCCUUGAUGUGUAGGAUAGGUGGGAGGCUUUGAAGCGUGGACGCCAGUCUGCGUGGAGCCAACCUUGAAAUACCACCCUUUAAUGUUUGAUGUUCUAACGUUGGCCCCUGACCGGGGUUGCGGACAGUGUCUGGUGGGUAGUUUGACUGGGGCGGUCUCCUCCCAAAGCGUAACGGAGGAGCACGAAGGUUAGCUAAUCCUGGUCGGACAUCAGGAGGUUAGUGCAAUGGCAUAAGCUAGCUUGACUGCGAGCGUGACGGCGCGAGCAGGUGCGAAAGCAGGUCAUAGUGAUCCGGUGGUUCUGAAUGGAAGGGCCAUCGCUCAACGGAUAAAAGGUACUCCGGGGAUAACAGGCUGAUACCGCCCAAGAGUUCAUAUCGACGGCGGUGUUUGGCACCUCGAUGUCGGCUCAUCACAUCCUGGGGCUGAAGUAGGUCCCAAGGGUAUGGCUGUUCGCCAUUUAAAGUGGUACGCGAGCUGGGUUUAGAACGUCGUGAGACAGUUCGGUCCCUAUCUGCCGUGGGCGCUGGAGAAUUGAGGGGGGCUGCUCCUAGUACGAGAGGACCGGAGUGGACGCAUCACUGGUGUUCGGGUUGUCAUGCCAAUGGCACUGCCCGGUAGCUAAAUGCGGAAGAGAUAAGUGCUGAAAGCAUCUAAGCACGAAACUUGCCCCGAGAUGAGUUCUCCCUGAGACUUUAAGUCUCCUGAAGGAACGUUGAAGACGACGACGUUGAUAGGCCGGGUGUGUAAGCGCAGCGAUGCGUUGAGCUAACCGGUACUAAUGAACCGUGAGGCUUAACCUUACAACGCCGAAG